rnacentral:rRNA from 1 species
ACUGGCUCAGAACGAACGCUGGCGGCAUGCCUAACACAUGCAAGUCGAACGAAGGCUUCGGCCUUAGUGGCGCACGGGUGCGUAACGCGUGGGAAUCUGCCCUUAGGUUCGGAAUAACAGCUGGAAACGGCUGCUAAUACCGGAUGAUAUCGCGAGAUCAAAGAUUUAUCGCCUGAGGAUGAGCCCGCGUUGGAUUAGGUAGUUGGUGGGGUAAAGGCCUACCAAGCCGACGAUCCAUAGCUGGUCUGAGAGGAUGAUCAGCCACACUGGGACUGAGACACGGCCCAGACUCCUACGGGAGGCAGCAGUGGGGAAUAUUGGACAAUGGGCGAAAGCCUGAUCCAGCAAUGCCGCGUGAGUGAUGAAGGCCCUAGGGUUGUAAAGCUCUUUUACCCGGGAAGAUAAUGACUGUACCGGGAGAAUAAGCCCCGGCUAACUCCGUGCCAGCAGCCGCGGUAAUACGGAGGGGGCUAGCGUUGUUCGGAAUUACUGGGCGUAAAGCGCACGUAGGCGGCUUUGUAAGUCAGAGGUGAAAGCCUGGAGCUCAACUCCAGAACUGCCUUUGAGACUGCAUCGCUUGAAUCCAGGAGAGGUCAGUGGAAUUCCGAGUGUAGAGGUGAAAUUCGUAGAUAUUCGGAAGAACACCAGUGGCGAAGGCGGCUGACUGGACUGGUAUUGA